rnacentral:rRNA from 1 species
UACGUAGGGUGCGAGCGUUAAUCGGAAUUACUGGGCGUAAAGCGUGCGCAGGCGGUUGGUUAAGUCUGAUGUGAAAGCCCCGAGCUCAACUUGGGAAUGGCAUUGGAAACUGGCUGGCUAGAGUGUGGCAGAGGGGGGUGGAAUUCCGCGUGUAGGCAGUGAAAUGCGUAGAGAUGCGGAGGAACACCGAUGGCGAAGGCAGCCCCCUGGGCUGACACUGACGCUCAGGCACGAAAGCGUGGGGAGCAAACAGG